AGAGUUUGAUUAUGGCUCAGGACGAACGCUGGCGGCGCGCCUAACACAUGCAAGUCGAACGAGCGAGAGAGAGCUUGCUUUCUCGAGCGAGUGGCGAACGGGUGAGUAACGCGUGAGGAACCUGCCUCAAAGAGGGGGACAACAGUUGGAAACGACUGCUAAUACCGCAUAAGCCCACGGCUCGGCAUCGAGCAGAGGGAAAAGGAGCAAUCCGCUUUGAGAUGGCCUCGCGUCCGAUUAGCUAGUUGGUGAGGUAACGGCCCACCAAGGCGACGAUCGGUAGCCGGACUGAGAGGUUGAACGGCCACAUUGGGACUGAGACACGGCCCAG
rnacentral:rRNA from 1 species